GACACUUUGGCCGAGUGGUCAAGGCGUAUCCCUGCUACCGUACGAGACAGGAUAUCCGUUUCCGCGGGCGUGAGUUCGAAUCUCACAGGUGUCG
rnacentral:tRNA from 2 species